rnacentral:rRNA from 1 species
UACGGAGGAUGCAAGCGUUAUCCGGAAUCAUUGGGUUUAAAGGGUCCGCAGGCGGGUUGUUAAGUCAGGGGUGAAAUCUUUCAGCUCAACUGUAAAAUUGCCUUUGAUACUGGCAAUCUUGAAUCAUUAUGAAGUGGUUAGAAUGUGUAGUGUAGCGGUGAAAUGCUUAGAUAUUACACAGAAUACCGAUUGCGAAGGCAGAUCACUAACAAUGUAUUGACGCUCAGGGACGAAAGCGUGGGGAGCAAACAGG